rnacentral:rRNA from 1 species
CCUACGGGUGGCAGCAGUGAGGAAUAUUGGUCAAUGGACGCAAGUCUGAACCAGCCAAGUCGCGUGCAGGAAGACGGCUCUAUGAGUUGUAAACUGCUUUUGUAAGAGGGUAAACGGAGAUACGCGUAUCUGUCUGCAAGUAUCGUACGAAUAAGGAUCGGCUAACUCCGUGCCAGCAGCCGCGGUAAUACGGAGGAUUCGAGCGUUAUCCGGAUUUAUUGGGUUUAAAGGGUGCGUAGGUGGGUGGAUAAGUUAGUGGUGAAAGCUCGAGGCUCAACCUCGGAAUUGCCAUUGAUACUGGUCGGCUAGAGAGUAGUUGCGGUAGGCGGAAUGUAUGGUGUAGCGGUGAAAUGCUUAGAUAUCAUGAAGAACCCCGAUUGCGAAGGCAGCUUACUAAGCUACUUCUGACAUUGAGGCACGAAAGCGUGGGUAUCAAACAGGAUUAGAUACCCGAGUAGUC